CCCCACACACACCUCCCCCGCCGCCCGCAGGCUUCUACGGUUGCCAUGACGGCGGCCUUGUUCUGGGCUGCACUUGGCUUUGCACCUGUGCUCGAGUUCUACGUCUUCACCAUGGCCACCACUGCGCAUCAACUUUCUCCUCAUCGCAGACUUCUUCUGCCAGUGAGGGCUUGAAGAGGAUAAACCCAGGUGAGAGCACCCUCUACGGACUGCUGGCUUAUGUCUCUGGCGUGGGCUUUGAAAUCAUGAGUGGAGCAUUUUCCUCUGUAAAUACUCUGUCUGAUUCUCUGGGGCCAGGCACAGUAGGCAUUCUUUGAGACCCUCUCCAGUGCUUCGGAAAUUCAGCUUUCAUGACACUGGUGAGCACAUUGCUGCACGUGUUCUAGAGCGUCGUGUUUUUGGAAGUGCCUGUGAGAAGAAAAAGUGGUACACCCUUCUUGUCAUUCUCACCUAUCUGCUGGUGUCAGCCCCAAGCUUCAUGAAUACUCACUGUGGAUUAAAUCUGGUGUCAGUGUGCAUCAUGCUGGUACUCACGGGCGUCUGGCCAUUCUCCAUUUCUGCCAAAGCCUGAAAUGUUGCCUGCUCUGCCAAGACUAGGACUUGCUCCUCUUCAACCAGUGCUCCAGACAACCCCCAAGGACCAGCACUUUUGAAAUGAGCUUUCUCAGUUUGGAGGAAAAUGUGGCUAUGUUCCAAGUUGACCUUGGAAAGUGAAUAUUGUUGCAGCACUUGACUAUGUUGCCAUGUACAUCAUAGAGACUGAUUUUGACUCUCUAAUAA
ensembl:lncRNA